rnacentral:lncRNA from 1 species
CCGAGGGAGGGUGGUAGGGGUUGGUAUAUAUAGGCCAGAGCAUAAUUUCUGUACCCUUGGAUCAAAAUGACUUGAAUAAAUGACAAAAAUUAGAUCUUAAUGGCAGUGGGGAACCGACAUUCGAAAGGGAGGCUAAUUGAUGGACCCAACAGGCCAAGUGGCCCCACAUGUCAUCCUCUUGGGGAUUGCUUUGGUAUGUUGCCUUCAACUGUCUUCUAGAGUCUUCCCACGUUGGUUUUCCUGUGGAUAAACAUGAUUUACUUUGAUGAAUAGGCCCCC